AUUCCCGGUGUAGCGGUGAAAUGCGUAGAUAUCGGGAAGAACACCAGUGGCGAAGGCGCUCUGCUGGGCCAUCACUGACGCUCAUGGACGAAAGCCAGGGGAGCGAAAGGGAUUAGAUACCCCUGUAGUCCUGGCCGUAAACGAUGAACACUAGGUGUCGGGGGAAUCGACCCCUCCGGUGUCGUAGCCAACGCGUUAAGUGUUCCGCCUGGGGAGUACGCACGCAAGUGUGAAACUCAAAGGAAUUGACGGGGGCCCGCACAAGCGGUGGAGUAUGUGGUUUAAUUCGAUGCAACGCGAAGAACCUUACCAGGGUUUGACAUCCUGCGAAUCUCUUGGAAACUUGAGAGUGCCUUCGGGAGCGCAGUGACAGGUGGUGCAUGGCUGUCGUCAGCUCGUGUCGUGAGAUGUUGGGUUAAGUCCCGCAACGAGCGCAACCCACGUCUUUAGUUGCCAGCAUUUAGUUGGGCACUCUAGAGAGACCGCCGGUGAUAAACCGGAGGAAGGUGUGGAUGACGUCAAGUCAUCAUGCCCCUUACAUCCUGGGCUACACACGUACUACAAUGCUACGGACAAAGGGCAGCAAGUUCGCGAGGACAAGCAAAUCCCAUAAACUGUGGCUCAGUUCAGAUCGUAGGCUGCAACUCGCCUACGUGAAGGAGGAAUCGCUAGUAAUCGCAGGUCAGCAUACUGCGGUGAAUACGUUCCCGCGCCUUGCACACACCGCCCG
rnacentral:rRNA from 1 species